GAAGAAGGAAGGAAGGAAGGAAGGAAGGAAAAUUGAUGAAUUGAUGAAGUUCCAGAGCUGAAAGAGUAAAAACAGUAUAUGAAGGAUCCAAACAUGCCUAUACAUCUUUUGGAGAGCUGAAUCCACUCUGCCAAGGUCCCAUGAUCAGUGUACACUCAAAGAUAUUCAAGAAGAAGGUGGGAUUUUUUAAUAUUAUGGAGGCUUCUGAACUUCCCUUACUAGUGUAUGAUCAUUCAGCUGCAACAAACCUCUUAUCCUGACAGACUGGAUUCUUCUAUUUACUGUUUGCUACUAUUCUGAAGAUGCUUCCCCAUGAUUCACUUUUAUUCCCUAGGACAUGGU
rnacentral:lncRNA from 1 species